ACUAGUGACCGUAGAUCAGCAGAGACAGGGUAACAUUGUUGGGGAAUACUCAUUAUGUUAAUGUGGAAAUGUAUAACACCUGAAAGACCCCCGGAGAGGACCUUUCCCUCAGGAGGAGUCUCAAGCGCCCAAUGACCGAGCCGAGUCCACUCGGAUGCAAUCAGCAAGAGGGUUUAUUGGAAAACACAGGUACCUGCGGGCACACAGUCUCUUCGGAAGACUUGCACGCCCAGCAGCUCCAGCAUGGGGCUUUUAUAGGGAGUGGGGAAGCAGAAGCGGGCGUACAGAAGCAGAUGUAUAGUUACGGGGAUUGGUGGAUUCAAACGAGGCACAUAGACAUGUUCACAUAUGAUUGGCUAUUUCACAUGAUGAGGUAAUAAGGUAUAGCUACACACAUUGGCAGGUUUGGGGCGUCCUGGAUGUCGGGGGCUGGGGGCUUAUCUCUUCCUGCCAGGUGGCCUGUGAGUCAGAUCAGGUACUCCUGGUCUGUUCUGCAUUCCUUUCCUUUUAUGGUCUGUUAGUUCUAGCGGCAGGGCGGGGCUGCCUGGACUUGCUUUUCACAGUGUUUAGUCCUGAGUUGAAACAUACUCUUUUAACUUCAUAUUUUUAAACCUUAAAUCUGUAUAAUUUUCCUUUCACACCUUUGACAGUUUGUGUGCUCACAGAAACCACCAGAAAAGCAGCCCUGACAAGAUUCACCUUGAGGAUGCUGAGAUGGUGAGGUGUAGUGAGAGGACUGAGACAGACUGACUCCAUGACAGGCUUCAAAUUGGGAGUUCAGGAGACUAGGUCUAGAUCUCUAUUUCCAAGAACUGGGCACAUCCAGGCAAGCCAGUUACUGGAAAAGCUCCAGGCCUGGGGCAGCCAAUCAGAAACUAACCCAACAUCAGUAGCUGUCCAUCACCUAGCCUGAGGCAAGGGCAAUGGUCAGAAACAGUUUCUAGGCUUCCCCAGCAACAGUUUCCAGCUCUCCCAACCUCCACAAUGGUUCUGGAAUGUCCCUAGAGAUAGAGGCAACUAAUUAAGAUAAGGUUACCCACCCCUCCCUGGAAUUCCCCCUAAUGUGCUUUUAGUGCUGUGAGCUCACCCGGGCAUCUCCAUCUUGGCAAGCAGUGGGCCCUAACGUGCUUGUGCAGAAUAAAGCUCGUGCUUUUGUGUACUCUGAGUUCGGGGUGUCAUUCUUUGGCGAGUCAUGGACCCUUACAGUAUCUAUUCCAGCACCUCGCCUGAUCCUACCUCAGACUGCCUCAACGAUGUUUCUUCAAAAUUCUGCAUCCAGGAUAGCAUCAAAGAAAGCUACUUGACCGCAGUUGGUCACAUCAAACUGUUCUGUUGUAGUCAGGACUUCAGCUAAGCCCUGAACUUCCUCUAUACAUAGAAAAGGACAACUGCUACAGCUAGCUCUCUUAGGAUUUAACCAUUUUCCCAGUUUUCUUGGGCCCCCUAAAAGGAAACUAUACCCCAAAUCAGCAGACAAUUUUAAGAGAGUGUGCCCCAUUCCCCAAAGGCAGGGGUGGGUGAUUGUUUUGGUAGUUGGAUGGCUUAUGGAUGUUUGUCAUUUAAGGGGAGUGGUUACAAGUUGCUAUGGUCUUAGAUCAGGGAGGAAACAACAGUUAGACUCAGGGAUUUCUCUUUUUCUUUCCUCUAUCUUUCUAAUCUAGUGUUGAGGGGAAAGUGGGGUGGAGGGUAUAGGAAUAAUGGUAUAUUAUUAAAUCUACUUUUAGACCAAAGAAUAUUAACAAGCCAAAAAUCUUACAUUGGUAUAGAUCUUUGUAUAUUGAUACAAAAUUGUCUUAGGGUUUUACUGCUAUGAACAGAUACUAUAACCAAGGUAACUCUUAUAAGGACAACAUUUUAUUGGGGCUGGCUUACAGGUUCAGAGGUUCAGUUCAUUAUCAUCAAGGUGGGAGCAUGGCAGCAUCCAGGCAGGCAUGGUGCAGGAGGAACUGAGAGUUCUACAUCUUCAUCUGAAGGCUGCAAGCAGAAUACUCCCAGGCAGCUAGGACAAGGGUCUUAAAGCCCAAGCCCAUUGUGACACACCUACUCCAACAAGGCCACACCUCCAAAUAGUGCUACUCCUUGGGCUAAGCAUAUACAAACCAUAACAAAAAUUGAGGUUACAUUUUGUUGUACAAAGGUAUAUAUCUUUGUACGUUGAUGCAAAAUUGAGGUUAAUAUUUUGCUACAACAUACUAUGUUUUCAAAUCUUAUUUGUGGUAUUAUACCUAGGUGAAUCUUUAAAAUGCAAUAUUAAGUUCCUGUUUUUAAAAGCUGCUAUUAGUAUAAUUAAUACAAGUUAAUAGUAAUCAAACAUAUGGUCUUAUAGGUACUAGCUUAGUUAUUUUCAAAAUAAGUUUUAUUUAGUCCCCUGUAGGUGUUUUCAAGGUUUAUCAGAUAGUGAAUAGCUAGAAACAGACAAUUCAGUUAUAAAUGGUUUUCAGAAACAUCAGAGAUAUAAAUGUCAUAUACAGAAUAUGACAUUUAAAGAUGUUUUAUUAUUAAAAGGCUUUUUGGCAGUGAAGUAGAUCUGCUCCUGACAGGAGUCGUUUUUCUACUUCAAAGAAAUAUGAGCAUCAAAGAGCCUCCCUAUGGAGUUUGCUUCAAAUGUGGCCAGCUGCCACUGGGCAACAAACUGUUUUUUUUUGUUUUUUUGUUUUUUUUUUUAAGAUUUAUUAUAUAUGAGUUCACUGUAGCUGUCUUCAGACACACCAGAAGAGGGCAUCAGAUCUCAUUACUGAUGUUUGUGAGUCACCAUGUGGUUGCUGGGAUUUGAACUCAGGACCUCUGGAAGAGGAGUCAGUGAGUGCUCUUAACCACCGAGCCAUCUCUCCAGCCCUUUUUAUUUUCCUGUCCAUGCUUCAGCUGCUGACAGAAUGCUGUCUAAAAUGGAUAAACUGGGAUGCAGGGAACUCAGCUGCUGAGCUUUGCAAGAACAAGGAUCUGGAGGAGCCUCCGUUCUUCUUCCACCAGAAACAAGACCACCUUCUGGAACUCCUCCAGGAUGCGUUCUCUCCGCUCUUUCACUCUCUCCUGUGGACAUGGGAUGGGGACCCCAAACUGGCUAUGAGAUGUGCCCAGGAAGGAUGGAAUCCUUCAGUGUUGACACACAGCAAUUCUGGACGCCUGGUGACCUACAACUCUUGGGCAAAGUUGGGAAUCAGGACUUUUGACAGAGAUUCCCCACACCAGCCCUGUUACACAAACAGGCCCUGGGUAAUAUCACCCAUGCAUUCUAAUGUCCAUGUGUCCUGCUGUCAGUGGCUUUAGAACAUGCAAACUCAAAGGAAGACACAGGCAUGAUUCGUAAAAAGGACAGGGGCCUCCUAAUAACCAGGCUAAACAUGAGAUUGGAGUUACCCAUGUCCCUAAAGCUGUUGAUCAAAAUUAGUAAGAAAUCAGAGUUUCAGAGACAACAAACUUCCCAAA